GCCUGGAACCUUCGUGAUGCACCGGACGUGGCCGUUAAACCCUGUCCACCAAGCUUUGUCGUGUCUAUCUUACCCGGGGCACUGGAAACGCCUCGUGUAUCUCGGUGCCCCCUGACGGAGCGGUAGGGGAAGUGUCUGCGAGUGGCGCCGCCGGCGAGACAAGAAGGUGUAUGCGCGUGGUGUCGCCGCUGAGACCUGGCCGCUCUACAGGUGGCUGCCGGAGCUCGAGCUUCCGCGGCCGGCCAACCUUACCAAGAGAGGUGGGUCACCUCAGUGUCCUAAGGUACUCACGCCGGCUCCAGCUCUAGCUGUUCCCGCCGUUUCGUGUCGUUCUACCUCUACGUCGGUCUAUGCUCCACACGAGACUUCGAUGCUCACCGACCUGUGCUUCCAAUCACUCUAUAGGAAACACUAAAACGUAGACAAGUCGUCCCAAACGUAGCAUGGACAUAGUCAAUCAACUAAAACCGAACGAUCGCGUCGUCAAGUAGGGUUCCCUUCAAAACACCGACCUGUGCUCAUAAAGCAGAUCGUACGUCAAAUCAAAGACAGGUAAAAGCCACCAUGUCUAAGCCAACCGAAAUGUGAAUACCAACCAUCAAGUUCAACACCAACAAACGUAUAUAUCACUAGACUUUCGAUUAACCCACUGUCUGACUGUCAAACUAAAGUUAUCAAUACCCACCACCAAGCUAAAGUGGUGUAUACCACAAUCAAAGGUCUACAAAAAUCCACGUUUCACCCCACCCAUACCAUCACGAUUAACCAAACAGUCAUAUGCGAAGAACCAAAAUCAAAGUUACGAUUAACCUAACAGUCUAGUAUAUGAAAAAACCCCGUGCACUAGGAUUCGACCCACGAUUAAACCUAAACAAUUACCUACAUGCUAAACACCUGCACUCCUUUACCCUGAUCCAGUUCGAAAGUAAGUCAAAGAAUCGUAAGAACCAUGUACUGGUUUCACCCUAAGUCAUGUACCGGUUUACCUAAUGGGGCUGUUUUUACACCAACGGUAGUCUAAAUCCAACCACAGUUAGUCAUCCUCUUUAGAACACACACUACUCGAAGCUAAGUGACCUUCCGCGUCCCCCCGAAAAAACUAAACAUCCACCUAGCGGACUCUCGUGUUGACUAACAUAAUCGCAAGCGUAAAUGUAUUAACGUCAUUCUUAGACUUGUUUAGUCUCAGUGAUAGUGGUAAAACAACACACAGAACCAAAACAAUGAAUGGCCUGCCAAGCGAGCUCCUUACGACUCCGUUUGACUAACACGUAUCCAACAACAAAAGUCAUUUAACCGUACAAAAAAUCUAAUGGGACAAUAGAUGGUCUUGCUAUAAGUUUUACCAACAAGGUAUGUUUCUAAUGAACCGUACCGUACGGGAAAUAAGUUAAGUGUCUGGCGGGACUGUUUAAAAACAAAGAUUAUACAAGACGGCUCUUUGCCAAAGGUCCCUAUCUUAGCCCUUUCGCGGUCUACUCUCCCUCUACUUGGGACUGUUUGUUGCGAACUUAACAGACAAACGUGAAUACGGCUUCACGUGUUUGACACCCCACCAACCUAUAGCGUCGUUACGUACACCAUGAUUUUUCUCGACUGGCAAACUCGGAUUGAAGGAGAUCUAACUUUGACCGACACUACAAACUACGGUAGUUCAGAGGUACACCAACACACCACCAUUAAAGAGAUAAACCCUACAGACUUAAAAUUAAACACGAUGGUUGUCAUUAAGAGGACUACAGACAAUUGAAGUAGACUUAAAACGACACACUAACGUCAAGACAACGAACCAGUUGAUUUAAAAAACAAAAUGAUGACUACCCCACCGGACAAGAAUAAAAACAGUUUUUGAUACAACAAAAACGACAGCUUCCGUCAUCUCGCAGACAUUAAGGUCACGAACCGAACAAUCCGUCCUUCGACUUUUAAUUUUAAUAUUCUACUA
rnacentral:rRNA from 1 species